AUUGAACGCUGGCGGCAUGCCUAACACAUGCAAGUCGAACGGUAACAGAAAGCAUCUUGCUGCUUUUCUGACGAGUGGCGGACGAGUGAGUAAUGUCUGAGAAACUGCCUGAUGGAGGGGGAUCACUACUGGAAACGGUAGCUAAUACCGCAUAACGUCGCAAGACCAAAGAGGGGGAACUUCGUGCCUCUUGCCAUCGGAUGUGCCCAGAUGGGAUUAGCUAGUAGGUGGGGUAACGGCUCACCUAGGCGACGAUCCCUAGCUGGUCUGAGAGGAUGACCAGCCACACUGGAAUGGAGAGACGGUCCAGACCCGUGAGGGAGGCCACAGUGGGGAAGAUUGCACAAGGGGGGCAAGCCGGAUGCAGCCAGGCCGCGUGUAGGAAGAAGGCCUUCGGGUUGUAAAGUACUUUCAGCGGGGAGGAAGGGAGUAAAGUUAAUACCUUUGCUCAUUGACGUUACCCGCAGAAGAAGCACCGGCUAACUCCGUG
rnacentral:rRNA from 1 species